rnacentral:rRNA from 1 species
GAUGAACGCUGGCGGCGUGCCUAAUACAUGCAAGUCGAGCGGUAAGGCCCCUUCGGGGUACACGAGCGGCGGACGGCUGAGUAACGCGUAGGAAUAUACCCCAAAGUGAGGGAUAACUGCCCGAAAGGGUGGCUAAUACCGCAUAUGGUCUUCGGAUUAAAGCCUUCGGGCGCUUUGGGAAUAGCCUGCGUAAGAUUAGCUUGUUGGUGAGGUAAAAGCUCACCAAGGCGACGAUCUUUAGCUGGUCUGAGAGGAUGACCAGCCAGACUGGAACUGAGACACGGUCCAGACUCCUACGGGAGGCAGCAGUAGGGAAUUUUCCACAAUGGGCGAAAGCCUGAUGGAGCAACGCCGCGUGCAGGAUGAAGGCCCUCGGGUCGUAAACUGCUUUUAUGUGAGAAGAAUAUGACGGUAACACAUGAAUAAGGGUCGGCUAACUACGUG